rnacentral:rRNA from 1 species
UACGGAGGGUGCAAACGUUGCUCGGAAUCAUUGGGCGUAAAGCGCACGUAGGCGGCCUGUUAAGUCGGGUGUGAAAGCCCUGGGCUCAACCCAGGAAGUGCACUCGAAACUGGCGGGCUUGAAUAUGGAAGAGGGUCGCGGAAUUCCCGGUGUAGAGGUGAAAUUCGUAGAUAUCGGGAGGAACACCAGUGGCGAAGGCGGCGCGCUGGACCACUACUGACGCUGAGGAACGAAAGCUAGGGGAGCAAACAGG